GGGACAUGGAAACUGCUGCUCAGGGGUAUUUUGUGCAUAAUGAUGUCUUGUCUCAGGAUGUCUCAGGAACACAGUUUUGUGGGAAAACCAACUGAGCAAAUUGUGGUGCCUGCUAAAUUUAGAGAAGCGGUGAUGAAAGCUUCCCAUGAUCAUGUAGUGGGUCAAAUGGGUUUUAAUAAAAAACAUACCAUCGCAUCUUGCGUCAUUUCUUUUGGUCCUGGUUGAAAAGGGAUGUAUCUGCGUUCAUAAAAACUUGCCACACUUGCCAGCUGAUGGAUAAGCCAAAUCCGUCCAUAAGUCCGGCUCCGCUGUGUCCAAUUCAAGCUUUGGAUCAGCCAUUUGAGCAUUUACUCAUGGACUGUGUGGGUACGCUGCCUCCCUCAAAGGCGGUAGUCAAUAUUUGUUGACUGUGAAUGUGAUGUGCCGGGCGACCCGCUAUCCAGUAGCCUACUCAUUGCGUUCUAUUACAGCCAAGUGUGUGUUGAAGGCACUGUCUCAGUUCAUUUCUGUGUUUGGCAUUCCCAAAGUCAUAGAAACUCACCACGGUUCCAAUUUUCGCUCUCAUCUGUUUUCACAGGUUUUUCAGCAGCUUCAGAUUAAACACAACCAGGCGUCGCUUAUCAUCCCCAAAGUCAAGGUGCUUUAGAGCGUUUUCUUUAAAACCUUGAAUUCACUCGUGUGCCUUCUUCACAAAGCUUGAUCACUACUGGGGGGAGGGCCUGCCUUGGUUGCUGUUGGCUGUGAGAGAGUUAGUCCAGGAUGCAGGCAGAGUGGCAGAGGUGCGUCCAGACGGAUGAUGAGCUACACCUGAAGCAACUCCUCCUGAUUGCUAGCUUAUAUAAGAGGGCUGGAUAUGACAGUUCUCUCUCUCUCCUCCCAGCAGACAGUAGUUUGGGUUUUCAUUACUAUUUUACUUCAUCCUUUGCCUGCACCAGACGUUCACACGUUCAAGCACUCAUCUCACUACUGAUACAAUGGACUCGCAUAUCUCCCAGUAAAAUUUGUGGAUUGUCUAAUAUUAGUGAAAUAAAUGUGUUACUUUGAUCCUUGA